UCCAUGCAGUCGAGCGAGAUCUUCGGAUCUAGCGGCGGACGGGUGAGUAACGCGUGGGAACGUACCCUCUUCUGCGGGAUAGCCACUGGAAACGGUGAGUAAUACCGCAUACGCCCUUCGGGGGAAAGAUUUAUCGGAGGAGGAUCGGCCCGCGUUGGAUUAGGUAGUUGGUGGGGUAAUGGCCUACCAAGCCUACGAUCCAUAGCUGGUUUUAGAGGAUGAUCAGCCACACUGGGACUGAGACACGGCCCAGACUCCUACGGGAGGCAGCAGUGGGGAAUCUUAGACAAUGGGCGCAAGCCUGAUCUAGCCAUGCCGCGUGAGUGACGAAGGCCUUAGGGUCGUAAAGCUCUUUCGCCUGUGAUGAUAAUGACAGUAGCAGGUAAAGAAACCCCGGCUAACUCCGUGCCAGCAGCCGCGGUAAUACGGAGGGGGUUAGCGUUGUUCGGAAUUACUGGGCGUAAAGCGCACGUAGGCGGAUUGGAAAGUAUGGGGUGAAAUCCCAGGGCUCAACCCUGGAACGGCCUCAUAAACUUCCAGUCUGGAGUUCGAGAGAGGUGAGUGGAAUUCCGAGUGUAGAGGUGAAAUUCGUAGAUAUUCGGAGGAACACCAGUGGCGAAGGCGGCUCACUGGCUCGAUACUGACGCUGAGGUGCGAAAGUGUGGGGAGCAAACAGGAUUAGAUACCCUGGUAGUCCACACCGUA
rnacentral:rRNA from 1 species